UACGUAGGGCGCAAGCGUUUGUCCGGAUUUACUGGGCGUAAAGCGCGCGUAGGUGGUUCAGUAAGUUGGAUGUGAAAUCCCCGGGCUCAACCUGGGAACUGCAUCCAAAACUGCUGAGCUAGAGUAUGGUAGAGGGUGGUGGAAUUUCCUGUGUAGGCGGUGAAAUGCGUAGAUAUAAGGAAGGAACACCAGUGGCGAAGGCGACCACCUGGACUGAUACCUGACACUGAGGUGCGAAAGCGUGGGGAGCAAACAGGA
rnacentral:rRNA from 1 species